GCAGUGCAAUGGGGCGCAGCCUGAUGCAGCAAUGCCGCGUGAGGGAUGACGGCCUUCGGGUUGUAAACCUCUUUCACCAGGGACGAAGGUCACGUGACGGUACCUGCAGAAAACGCACCGGCUAACUACGUGCCCCCCGCCGCUGUAAUAC
rnacentral:rRNA from 1 species